rnacentral:rRNA from 1 species
GACGAACCGUGCGAACGUUAUUCGGAAUCACUGGGCUUAAAGGGUGUGUAGGCGGUCUGUCAAGUCAGGGGUGAAAUCCUUCGGCUUAACCGGAGAACAGCCCCUGAUACUGAUGGGCUCGAGGGAGAUAGAGGCAGCCGGAACUACCGGUGGAGCGGUGAAAUGCGUUGAUAUCGGUAGGAACGCCAGAGGCGCAAGCGGGCUGCUGGAUCUCUUCUGACGCUGAGACACGAAAGCUAGGGGAGCAAACGGG